GUCUGUUGUGUUUGUGAAGUCAUAACAUCAUUCUGUGUAUUUCUGGAUUAAUUAUUUAUUGUUUUGUUACAUUUUUUGUUCCUUUGUGUAUUUUUCUAAUCCAUUUCUGUGUUUUUCAUAUUAUUUUGAGUCUUUUUGUUGUUUUGUGUGUUUGUGGAGUUAUUUUGUAUAUUGUGUGUGUGUGUGUGUACUUACAGUUUUUGAGGUGGACACCCUGGCAGAAAGUGGCGUAGAAAAAGAGCACGGUUGUGUUGGCUCUUCACUGGUCUGACCCGAUGAGGGGCGGAGUCUCUGCAACAGUCUGCCAAUCAUAAAGCAGAUUUCAUGAUGAUUUUUGCCAUGUUCAUCAUAACCAGUGUCUCUCCUGGUUUCCUUUCCCUGAUGUGAAUGUGAGGAAGCUGUUUAGUUGAUAUAAAUCAGAGACGUUUCUCUCACUGAGAACUCUGAACUGGUUGAAUAAAGAAGGUUCUCACGGUGCUGUGGCGUCCGGCUGCUCCUCUCCACUGCUGCUGAGGUCUGAGUGGAUCUGGACAUCAGAGCAGGAGGCUGAACAUUGGAUCUCAUCCCUGGAAUCAGACACAAGUGCACAUAACUUACAGUAGGGGCCCAAGAAGAGGGUUAGUACCCAGGGCCCAAAGUGUGGUGCUACGGCCCAGAUGUAGCGUAGGAACGGGUGAUAAAUGAGGGUCGUUAAAGGGGAAAUGACUGUUCUUACUGCUGCAUGUGACACGCUGCGGUGACGAGCAGUAGAGGCUGCGGCUCCUCCCACUUUUCUCCUGCUGAGCCGUGCUGGCGUUUGUGGGCGGGUGAAAAACAGACGGAGGAUUCCUGGAGCUUUCCUCAGCAGAGAUGGACUCAAUGGAAUCACAGCGGAACAAUCGGACACUGGAGGACAAAACCAUGUACUUGUGUUUAGGGUGGGGGCACAAAAAAAAAAAAAUUGCACCGGGUCCUAUCACCAUGAUGUUACAUCACUGACUGGAAUCAAAACAUUUGAUUUCUUUCCUGCUUUGACUCUGGUCCUCGAGGGUUGCAGUCCUGCUUGCUUUUGUGAAUCCCUGCUCUAACACACCUGAGCCGAUCAUUACACUCAGGUGGGAGUUAUUAUUUAACACGUGCAGAACUGCUGCCCUCCAGGAUCAAAGUCUAACCAAAGCUUUGCUGCAGCUUGCCUCAUUGCUAACGUGCUAACGUGCUAACAGAAUUGAUUAUUGAGUUUAUUUUGAAAUUUAAGCUGUAACUUUCCUCAAAGUUGCACUAAUUUCCAACUCACUGAUCCAUGUGUGUGUGAGCAUCGCUCAGAGGUGGGAGGAAGUGAGAGGUGAGUGUGUGUUUGUAGUCGUUGUCACUUCCUUCUCUGGUUGACCUCAGUUCCUUCAUCUCACCAGGAUCAGCUGGAAACUGUGGGAAUGAAGACAAUCAGCUCAUUAAAUAUGUGUGUUAGAAUCUGUCAUCAUGGGACAAUCAAACGCAUCAUAAACAAUAGUUUA
rnacentral:lncRNA from 1 species